UACGAAGGGGGCUAGCGUUGCUCGGAAUCACUGGGCGUAAAGCGCACGUAGGCGGAUCUUUAAGUCAGGGGUGAAAUCCUGGAGCUCAACUCCAGAACUGCCUUUGAUACUGGGGAUCUCGAGUCCGGAAGAGGUGAGUGGAACUCCGAGUGUAGAGGUGAAAUUCGUAGAUAUUCGGAAGAACACCAGUGGCGAAGGCGGCUCACUGGUCCGGUACUGACGCUGAGGUGCGAGAGCGUGGGGAGCAAACAGG
rnacentral:rRNA from 1 species